GCACCAGUAGCUCAGUGUUAGAGCACCGGUCUUGUAAGCCGGGUGCGAGGGUUAAACUCCCUCCUGUUGCA
rnacentral:tRNA from 1 species